UACGUAGGGUCCGAGCGUUGUCCGGAAUUACUGGGCGUAAAGAGCUCGUAGGUGGUUUGUCGCGUUGUUCGUGAAAACUCACAGCUUAACUGUGGGCGUGCGGGCGAUACGGGCAGACUUGAGUACUGCAGGGGAGACUGGAAUUCCUGGUGUAGCGGUGGAAUGCGCAGAUAUCAGGAGGAACACCGGUGGCGAAGGCGGUUCUCUGGGCAUUACCUGACGGCUGAGGAGCGAAAGUGUGGGGAGCGAACAGG
rnacentral:rRNA from 1 species